rnacentral:snoRNA from 1 species
AACCCAUGGUGAGGACACCUUUGUAGUAGGUCCUUAUAUCUUUCCCAUGCAUCGUAAAGUGUUUCUAAAUCCAUCUGCACAAAAGAAGAUAUAUCAUUCCUCAAUUU